rnacentral:tRNA from 1 species
GCGGGAGUAGUUCAGAGGAAGAACAUCUGCCUUCCAAGCAGAGGGUCGUGGGUUCGAAUCCCAUCUCCCGCUCCA